rnacentral:rRNA from 1 species
AUUCAACGCUGGCGGCAUGCCUUACACAUGCAAGUCGAACGGCAGCACGGGAGCAAUCCUGGUGGCGAGUGGCGAACGGGUGAGUAAAGUAUCGGAACGUGCCAGUCGUGGGGGGUAACGUAGCGAAAGUUACGCUAAUACCGCAUACGAUCUAUGGAUGAAAGCGGGGGAUCGCAAGACCUCGCGCGAUUGGAGCGGCCGAUAUCAGAUUAGGUAGUUGGUGGGGUAAAGGCUCACCAAGCCGACGAUCUGUAGCUGGUCUGAGAGGACGACCAGCCACACUGGGACUGAGACACGGCCCAGACUCCUACGGGAGGCAGCAGUGGGGAAUUUUGGACAAUGGGCGAAAGCCUGAUCCAGCCAUGCCGCGUGCAGGAUGAAGGCCUUCGGGUUGUAAACUGCUUUUGUACGGAACGAAAAGGUUUGGGCUAAUAAGCUGAGCUCAUGACGGUACCGUAAGAAUAAGCACCGGCUAACUACGUGCCAGCAGCCGCGGUAA